AUAAACCUCCAUUAGCAGAGCUUAGGCCGGCAGCAGUCAGAAAUGUCUGCUGGAGAAGACACUGCAAAGUGUCAGUGAGGGCGUUUGAGAAUUAAUUUUACCCUAGAGUAGCUGCGCAGGUCUGUUUAGCACUCACCUCUACAGUUUUGAACAUUCGAUAACACCAGAAUCAGUCUGAUGCCUUGAACACUUUACAUGAAGGGUUUUUCAAAAUCUAGCCACAAACAGAUAUGACCAGAUUUCAAAAAAUUUUGAGAAACUAGGAGGAAUCUAUUUUGACAAAGCCAAGCCACACAUAGGAUAGAGGCAGACAUGCGUGCCCUGGAAAGAAGAAAGUAGAAGGAUCAACUAAAAGAGCUCUCCCACUAAAUGGCUGUGGGCUCCUCUAAGAAACUGAAACAUGGAAGAAGGAAGGACCAGCCAGCCAGAACAGCAGUGGGUAUCAAGGAAUGAUAUAAAAGCAAGCUCAAGACAGUCAAGAUUCAAGGAGCUAUAUACCUUGCUUCCUUUCCAGAGCUGAAAUUUGAGUCAAGAGUCCAUUUCUUCCAUCUGGCCAGAUGAUCUCCAGGAUACUCUCAUGAAAUCACCGGAAAACUCUUUCUUAUUCCCUAAUGCUCUUGGGAGAUGAAGAUUUUUUGGCAAGAUAGAAAGAAAAUCUGAGGUCAGCAAAGUCAGCAGACAUAGGAGACAGCCAUAAAUCUGGGUGACAUUUAAUUCACAACCCAAGGAGGCAAAAGAUAUUACCCUAAUUUUACAGGGACCAGAAGUGAAACUUCAGCAGGAGGAGUGACUGCACGUGAGGGAAGAGAGCAGCCUCUUUGCACACAUGGGCACACACUGCCGAAAAUGAGAUUUGAGUUGUUGCUGCCAUAAUCUCCACAAACGCCCACCACAGAAUGACAUCACUGCCAAAGCCCAAUUAGUUCAGAGAAGACCCUGGCACUGGAUGAUAUUCCUUCAAGAUGGCAUGAAAUUCCAAAUAUAAAUUGGGUCCGCACUGGGCGAUGAUUCAAGAAAUCGUAUUGGCCAGUUCACAGGACUAGAAAUCCUUUAGACAGGCUUUGGAAAUUGUAUCAUUCCAGAUACAGACAGAGGUAUAGUUACAACUCAGACCUCUCAAUAAACAUCUAGAAAAAGAAA
rnacentral:lncRNA from 1 species